GACGAACCGUGCGAACGUUGUUCGGAAUCACUGGGCUUAAAGGGCGCGUAGGCGGGCUUAAAAGUCAGGGGUGAAAUCCCGCGGCUCAACCGUGGAAGUGCCUCUGAUACUGUAAGUCUCGAGGGAGGUAGGGGCGUGCGGAACUUCCGGUGGAGCGGUGAAAUGCGUAGAUAUCGGAAGGAACACCGGUGGCGAAAGCGGCGCGCUGGACCUCUUCCGACGCUGAGGCGCGAAAGCCAGGGGAGCAAACGGG
rnacentral:rRNA from 1 species